GAUGAACGCUGGCUACAGGCUUAACACAUGCAAGUCGAGGGGAAACGACGGGGAAGCUUGCUUCCCCGGGCGUCGACCGGCGCACGGGUGAGUAACGCGUAUCCAACCUGCCUCUGACUGAGGGAUAACCCGGCGAAAGUCGGCCUAAUACCUCAUGGUAGCGUCUGCGGGCAUCCAACGACGAUUAAAGAUUUCAUCGGUCAGGGAGGGGGAUGCGUCUGAUUGGCUUGUGGGCUGGGUAGCGGCCCACCAAUGCUCCGAUCAGUAGGGGUGCUGAGGGGCAGGUCCCCCACAUUGGAACUGCGGCACGGACCACAAUCCGACGGAGGGCAGCGGUGUGGAAUAUUGGUCACUGGGCCAGGGCCUGAACCAGCCAAGUGGCGUGAAGAAGGCCGGCGAUAUGGAUUGUAAACUGCUUGUAUGCGAGGAUAGAGUGAGGGACGCGUCCCUCAUUGACGGUACCGAAUGAAUAAGGACCGGCUAAUUCCGUG
rnacentral:rRNA from 1 species